rnacentral:rRNA from 1 species
AGGUCACUGCUAUCGGGGUUCGAUUAAGCCAUGCGAGUCGAGAGGGUUCGGCCCUCGGCGUACUGCUCAGUAACACGUGGAUAACCUGCCCUAAGGAAGGGGAUAACCCCGGGAAACUGGGGAUAAUACCCUAUAGGUUACAGAUGCUGGAAUGCUUUGUAACCCAAAGUUCCGACGCCUUAGGAUGGAUCUGCGGCCGAUUAGGUUGUUGUUGGGGUAACGGCCCAACAAGCCCGUAAUCGGUACGGGUUGUGGGAGCAAGAGCCCGGAGUUGGAUUCUGAGACACGAAUCCAGGCCCUACGGGGCGCAGCAGGCGCGAAAACUUUACAAUGCGGGCAACCGUGAUAAGGGAACCUCGAGUGCCUGUAUAUGCAGGCUUGUCCANGUGUCUAAAAAACACUUGAANAAAGGGCCGGCAAGACCGGUGCCAGCCCGCCGCGGUAAUACCGGCGGCUCGAGUGGUGGCCCGCUUUUAUUGGGCUUAAAGCGUUCGUAGCUGGUUUGUUAAGUCUCUUGGGAAAUCUGACGGCUCAACCGUNAGGCGUCUAAGGGAUACUGGCAAUCUUGGAACCGGGAGAGGUGAGGGGUACUUCGGGGGUAGGAGUGAAAUCCUGUAAUCCUCGAGGGACCACCUGUGACGAAGGCGCCUCACCAGAACGGCUUCGACAGUGAGGGACGAAAGCUGGGGGAGCAAACCGGAUUAGAUACCCGGGUAGUCCCAGCCGUAAACGAUGUGCGUUAGGUGUAUCGACGACCACGAGUCGUCGAGGUGCCGAAGGGAAACCGUGAAACGUACCGCCUGGGAAGUACGGUCGCAAGGCUGAAACUUAAAGGAAUUGGCGGGGGAGCACCACAACAGGUGGAGCCUGCGGUUUAAUUGGACUCAACGCCGGAAAUCUCACCGGAUAAGACAGCGGAAUGAUUGCCGGGCUGAAGACUCUGCAUGACUAGCUGAGAGGAGGUGCAUGGCCGUCGUCAGUUCGUACUGUGAAGCAUCCUGUUAAGUCAGGCAACGAGCGAGACCCACGCCAACAGUUGCCAGCAUAGUCUCUGGACUGAUGGGGACACUGUUGGGACCGCCUCUGCUAAAGAGGAGGAAGGAAUGGGCAACGGUAGGUCAGCAUGCCCCGAAUUAUCCGGGCUACACGCGGGCUACAAUGGGCAGGACAAUGGGUAUCGACACCGAAAGGUGAAGGCAAUCUCCUAAACCUGUCCGUAGUUCGGAUUGUGGGCUGUAACUCGCCCACAUGAAGCUGGAAUCUGUAGUAAUCGCGUUUCAACAUAACGCGGUGAAUGUGUCCCUGCUCCUUGCACACACCGCCCGUCAAACCACCCGAGUGGGGUUUGGAUGAGGCUGCGGUCGUUGCCGCAGUCGAAUCUAGGUUCCGCAAGGGNGGUU